rnacentral:rRNA from 1 species
AACGAACGCUGGCGGCAGGCUUAACACAUGCAAGUCGAGCGCCCCGCAAGGGGAGCGGCAGACGGGUGAGUAACGCGUGGGAAUCUACCCAUCUCUACGGAAUAACGCAUGGAAACGUGUGCUAAUACCGUAUACGUCCUUCGGGAGAAAGAUUUAUCGGAGAUGGAUGAGCCCGCGUUGGAUUAGCUAGUUGGUGGGGUAAGGGCCUACCAAGGCGACGAUCCAUAGCUGGUCUGAGAGGAUGAUCGGCCACACUGGGACUGAGACACGGCCCAGACUCCUACGGGAGGCAGCAGUGGGGAAUAUUGGACAAUGGGCGCAAGCCUGAUCCAGCCAUGCCGCGUGAGUGAUGGAGGCCCUAGGGUUGUAAAGCUCUUUCACCGGUGAAGAUAAUGACGGUAACCGGAGAAGAAGCCCCGGCUAACUUCGUGCCAGCCGCCGCGGUAACAC